rnacentral:rRNA from 1 species
UACGUAGGGGGCGAGCGUUGUCCGGAUUCAUUGGGCGUAAAGAGCUCGUAGGCGGCUUGGCAAGUCGGAUGUGAAAACUCCAGGCUCAACCUGGAGCCGCCAUUCGAUACUGCUAUGGCUAGAGUCCGGUAGGGGAGUGUGGAAUUCCCGGUGUAGCGGUGAAAUGCGCAGAUAUCGGGAGGAACACCGGUGGCGAAGGCGGCAUCCUGGACCGGCAUUGACGCUGAGGCGCGAAAGCCAGGGGAGCAAACGGG